rnacentral:rRNA from 1 species
AUACGUAGGUGGCGAGCGUUGUCCGGAAUUACUGGGCGUAAAGGGUGCGUAGGCGGACCAUCAAGUCAGAUGUGAAAGUCCAUGGCUUAACUGUGGGAGUGCAUUUGAGACUGAUGAUCUAGAGUGCAGGAGAGGGAAGCGGAAUUCCUAGUGUAGCGGUGAAAUGCGUAGAUAUUAGGAAGAACACCAGUGGCGAAGGCGGCUUUCUGGACUGUAACUGACGCUGAAGCACGAAAGCGUGGGGAGCGAACAGGAUUAGAUACCCUGGUAGUCCACGCUGUAAACGAUGAGUAUUAGGUGUAGGGGACGAUAGUCUUCUGUGCCGGAGCAAACGCAAUAAAUACUCCGCCUGGGGAGUACGGUCACAAGACUAAA